UUGCUGGUGAUCUCACUUCUUGACUAAUGUGUUAUAAAACGCAAGUGCUAUCAGGGACAACUGUGCUGCUAUCAGGGGAGGAUGGAGAAUAGGAGUGAAUCCUAAAGGAGUGGGAAGUGGAUUGAAAAAUGAAGUCCUGUUCAAACCCAAGCAUUGACUAAAAUUAAAACAUGCAGGGAAAGAUGUGACUCAUCUAACAAAGAACAUAGGUACUACUGUUUACAUAUCCCCUGAUGCAUCAGCAGGAGUGACAAUGGGGUUUUCCAGGCCCAGCACACUAGAUUUGGAUCUUCUACCUCAUUUGGAAAAGGAAAAAUGAAACGGUGUAAGAUAUGCACAUACUUUUUCUUAGAGAUUUUCUCCCC
rnacentral:lncRNA from 1 species